UACUCCUACGGGAGGCAGCAGUGAGGAAUAUUGGUCAAUGGGCGGAAGCCUGAACCAGCCAUGCCGCGUGCAGGAAGACGGCCCUAUGGGUUGUAAACUGCUUUUGUAUGGGGCGAAACGCCGGUAUAGAAUCGGCUAUGACGGUACCAUAGGAAUAAGCAUCGGCUAACUCCGUGCCAGCAGCCGCGGUAAUACGGAGGAUGCGAGCGUUAUCCGGAUUUAUUGGGUGUAAAGGGCGUGCAGCCGGGCUGACAAGUCAGAUGUGAAAACCAGGGGCUUAACCUCUGGACUGCAUUUGAAACUGUUGGUCUUGAGUAUCGGAGAGGUAACCGGAAUUCCUAGUGUAGCGGUGAAAUGCGUAGAUAUUAGGAAGAACAUCAGUGGCGAAGGCGGGUUACUGGACGACAACUGACGGUGAGGCACGAAAGCGUGGGGAGCAAACAGGAUUAGAUACCCUGGUAGUCACGGGGAUACUCCUACGGGAGGCAGGAUUAGAUACCCUGGUAGUCA
rnacentral:rRNA from 1 species